UGUCAGCCCCUAAGCCUGUUUUCUGCACUCCUACCUCUGUGGCAUCUGCCCCUGCUCUCAGGCCCAGCCCGGAGCAAGCUUGGCCAGACACCCCCUGUAGGCCUCUUCAGACAUCUCUUCCGGUCGCUGUCCAGGAAGGCUUUUCCAACAGGCCAGCCUGCCUGCAUCCCUCUCAGCCUCAGAUCUAUACCUGGGUCCACUUGGCUCUCGGGCACUGUCUGGUCUCCUAGCUUGGAGAGAAGUGGCCGGCAUGUCCAGGGCAUCAAGAUGGGGUGUGGCACAUAGGUGGAGCUUGAUGACAACUGUGAGUACUAGUCCUAUAAUAUCACGGGGAUGAUCUCGUGAACUCAUGUGAGCUACGCUGGGCUUCUUGGGAAGAAAGGUGCCUGGUUUGGCCCUGGGACUGGAGGACCUGGAAUGGUGGCUGGGGACUCCCGAGCUGGCCUCUGCACCAGGGGCCUUGCC
rnacentral:lncRNA from 1 species